rnacentral:hammerhead_ribozyme from 1 species
ACUCAGCUGACGAGUCCUAAGUAUGACGAAACGUGAGUCCUGGAU